AAACGAUUAGAUGUUUCCAUUUCAUCCCAGUGGUUUAACAGGAAGCAGCCUGCACUUAAGCAUCUUUCAUUGUUUACUCCCACAUUAAAAAGACACCGAAUGCCGAAUAAUUCCAUGACGAAAAGUGAAAUGCAUAAAUCAAUAACUGAAAGGAUAUUUUAUUGAGAGCCAUUGUUCGGUCGACACUUUGACCAACAGAACAAUGAUUAAUGUUUAUGUACCCAACUUUUCAGAAGAGAAUCUUGACAUUCUCUGAAUGAAAAGGCUGAGCAUGAAUUAAUGAAAGAGGCCUGGUGAGAUUCUCCAGAAAGUCCUCUCUUUCAUACGCGUCUCACAGUUCACUAUAAUAUUCCACACCAUAAAUUCCUUUAAUACAUAAGCAAGCCGACUUGCGUUCUAGUGCCGUAUAAUACUGUACACAGCCCGAUUUGCUGUUCAUUGUAAUUCCAAAGAAGGCUGAUGGAAAUUCGAAGUAAAGACAAAAACGAAAGAUUGGAAGCUCUGAGCAGGUCAGGCAAGGUCCGUGGAGACAGCACAUCUUUCAUCGGAUGUUAAACAUAAGCAAAGAUGACUGGCGUGGGGGCGGGGCGCUGGUGGGACAAAAGCUAAGGCCUGCCAGGGGCUGGAGAUAUGGAGCGAGUAACAAAAGCGACGAUGAUGCAAGUGUCUGUGCCAAAUGUUUUGCAAGAAUGAUGAACCUGCUGCCAAUCCCUUGCCUCCUGCCCUUUUCCAUUCUGAUGAUUUGGAGAUGCCGGUGUUGGAC